rnacentral:rRNA from 1 species
GAUGAACGCUGGCGGCGUGCCUAAUACAUGCAAGUCGAGCGAACGGACGAGAAGCUUGCUUCUCUGAUGUUAGCGGCGGACGGGUGAGUAACACGUGGAUAACCUACCUAUAAGACUGGGAUAACUUCGGGAAACCGUAGCUAAUACCGGAUAAUAUUUUGAACCGCAUGGUUCAAAAGUGAAAGACGGUCUUGCUGUCACUUAUAGAUGGAUCCGCGCUGCAUUAGCUAGUUGGUAAGGUAACGGCUUACCAAGGCAACGAUGCAUAGCCGACAUGAGAGGGUGAUCGGCCACACUGGAACUGAGACGCGGUCCAGACUCCGACGGGAGGCAGCAGUAGGGAAUCUUCCGCAAUAGGCGAAAGCCGGACGGAGCAACGCCGCGUGAGUGAUGAAGGUCUUCGGAUCGUAAAACUCUGUUAUUAGGGAAGAACAUAUGCGUAAGUAACUGUGCACAUCUUGACGGUACCUAAUCAGAAAGCCACGGCUAACUACGUG